rnacentral:lncRNA from 1 species
ACUUCAGCAAGCAGUAUGUCUGGCAGAAUUGGCGGGACAAGCUGAGGCACUAAAGGAAUGUGAAACCAAUCAUGGUUGCUGGCUAUUCCUUGCUGCAGAAACAGCCCAAAAGUGCUAGUUUGACUAAAUACUAUGGGAGCAUACAAACCUCCUCUGUAGGGGAGAAGCAUGUAAGCAUGCAGAAGACUGCACAAAAUGUGGAAACCAACACACAUUGUUAUUGUGAUGGGCAAGCCAUUCUUGAACAUUUUGUGGGUAUGUACAGAUGACAUAGUUAAAUGCAUCUUUUUGCUGGUUUUAGUUGAAGUUACUUUUAAUAAUGUGGUUUCUUUACCUCUCUGUGUUGUUAUGUGGACUGGCACUUCUGUCUCAAACGGCUGGCAUGCAAACAGUGCAAAAUUUGCAGCCCCUCGAGUUCCCACGACCGCACAUUUGUUAUUCCUGUGUUCCAGCACAAAUUUUCCUUUAUCUUUUUACAUAUGGAAGUACGUCUGAUCUUAAUGUUUCAAGCAACAAAAUAGAAAAGAUCCCUAUUAUUUUUUUAGAAAAAAGAAAAGGUAUCUCUGAACCUAAAUGUAUCCUUGAAAAUAGUGCCAGGUACCUUCAUAUGUGUGUGCACACGGAAGCCUCUAUUUAUGGAAACAUUGUCUUGCACGUGAACUUCACUACAGCAGAUUGCUUCUUAUUCACUCAUAAGUUCAUCACUCACAUAGUCAUUGUUAUCAGCCUGAAGUCUGUUGUUCAAAGCAUUGCAAAUUGAACCUUGCUCAAACCCAUGGAAUCGCUUGCUCGAGUGAUAUUAACCAUUGCUUCUACAUCAGAUAGGCAGAAAUGGGCAUAAAUGUAUGUAGUAUGUAGUAGUGUAGCUGUGACCAGUGGACAUGCUCAUUCAUUAAAAUGAACUUAUACAUGGCAGGGUUUCUGCAGAGUGAUUAAACCUAGCUCUUCUAUUUGCAGGGACAUCUCCUACCAAUGCCAGGUUUGUUUAAUCAAAAGCUCUGCAUAGUACAGCAACUUUCCUUAACUUCCCGGUAACUAUGCUGUUGGCAGGAGAGCAACCAGUCAACCUGCUAUUUUAAGGGAGACAGUGUCAGAAGCUGCCAGAGUAGCAUCCCUUGGUGAAUUGGCCAUCUCCUGCCUGACUUCGUAAUCCUGCCAUUGACGUUGCUCCUCCAUGGACACGCGCAGCGCCUGAAAAGUAGAAUGACUGAGGCAACUGUGCACAGCAUGGAUGUACCCACCACUCCUAAGGGCACAUCCAAAAUAGACGGCGAGCAUCUGCUGCAGAUGCAGGAGCGGAGCAUUGCGGACACUGGACCAUGUCUUCCUACAGUUGACCCCAAGCACAAGUGAUGGCUGGUGUAAGGGCCGCCCCGGCCCAAAGUUCCGGGAGAGGGACUUUCUCCACCCGAGAAAGAUUGUGGGGAAGGGAGCAGACAUGUGGUGGGGAGAGGGCUCGUGUGUCACGCCAGAGGAUGGAUUUUCCAGCAAUGAAAACAGGGAAGGCAAAGAGGAG